CGGGGCAUUAUGGGAUGGGGUCGGGCUGGCUUGGUCCCUGUCAUGGCGGAGGUCGGGGGGUCGCAGGGCCCCCAGUGUGUGUCUCCAGACUGGAAGAAGGGAGGGUGAGAUGGGAACCUCAGAGAAACAAACACCAGAGUUACGAACUGACCAGUCAACCACAUACCUCAUUUGAAUUGGAAGUAUGCAAUCAGGCAGCAGAGGCAAAAAAAACAAAUACUGUACAGCACAGUACUUUGUUAAAUGUAAACUACUAAAAAAAGUUGUUUUAAAAGAAAAUGGACAAGGCAAGAAAACUGAAAGAGAAAUUGUGACAAGUCUAUGAAGAAGCUGCAAACUGAACCUAGGUCUCCUGACCACCUUGUCCUGUGCCUUUACCAAGGCAGGUAAGUAACAUUAUCCCAUAUAACUGAUGGAACAACACCAAAAUUAAGUAACUUUCCCAAGGCUUCACUGAGAGUCGGUAGCUGGGCUGGAAUUAGGAGGUCCUGGCUCUCAGUCCAAACCAUUGGACUGUGCUGCCUUCCUGAAUACUUCUCUGGUAGGGGCCUAAUCCUGUUGCUGUUACUCACAUGAGUUUCCUCCCUGACUUAGCUACAGAUAAAGAUGAGAAUGUUGUCCUUGACAAACUUAUUUUAAAGCAAACAUUGUUUCCACUCUGUAAUAGAAAAGUUUAACAAGUCAAGUAGACAGAUGGUUUUGAUGCUAAAUAAAAACAAGUCAAAUAAGCCUAAAAUAAACUCCAUUCUGGUCUAGCAGAACAUUAGCCUUUAAAUAAAUACUAAGGAGCCUGGGAAUAUUAGUCCCUUUCUCUGUACAGUGGAUGGCAUUACAGGUUAUAUUUAUCAAACUCAAAUCCCUAAAAUAGCAGGGGAGCGGGAUAGUGAUGUCAGCUGUUCUUCAGACACAAAUCAGGUUGUUUUAAAUGUCUUAGUCUGAGCUGAAAAACUACAUGUGUGUCUGACAGUUUAUUACACUGCAUGGUACCUCCGCUCUUAAUUCACUGCUCAGUUUAUUAAUCUGGUUGAGCAAACUUCACAGAAAUACUUCAUUUUGUUUUGCAGCUUUAAAUGAAUGGGUAUGAAUGAGUCUUGGACUUUGAGGUGGGAGGAUUCAAUCCAGCCACAGUAACCGGGGGGAAUACACUUUGCUCCAAUUUUUGUGCAUUUUAGAAUUGUAAGCAAAUGUUAUUUAGUAAGGGUCUAACCUUCCCUUGAGAGUAAAAUAUAGGACAUCAGGGGGCACAUUUGCCAGUACAGUCAGGGGGUUUACAUGGAGAGCCACCAGCAGGAACACUGAUCAGCAGGGAUCCUAAGUUUUUUCCAUGAUUAAAAAAAACCCAAAAUUCUCUGAUUUUAAAAAAAGCAUAACAGUUGGCUUUUUUCUGCAAGUAAAAUGAAACGCUGAACUUUAGUUUCCUUAGCCACAAAAUAUAUAUAGGUAUAAAUUGAACACUAUUUUAUUGAUAUAUUUACAAUUUUUAAGCAAGUUCAAAGUCUACCAGUUCCAUCAAUCAUUAUAUUAAAAUUAAUAGAAUGAUCCAGUCACAGUGCAUUGUUUCUUUGCUGUUGUCAAUGGCCCUGCUGUUUCAACCUCUUGUUUUAGUUUAUUUGCAUGUUUUAUGUUUAGCACUUUCCAUGUAUUCUACAAUUGUCUGCCUUUGAAUGUAAUCUAAUGCCUUGCUGCAUAUAGUAAGAACAGCACAUUACCAUCAAUGUGAAAUUUGUUCUUGCCAAACUCAGUGACAUGGUAUUUAGGCAUGAUUUUUAAAGUUUUCAGCAUCUUUUCAUAACUUUAAUUACGUCUGGAGGCUGAAGUGAAAUUUGAGAUGCAUUAAAACACAAACCCCUAUACGCUGUUGAGGAACCUCUAUAUGCUGGAAGCAGUUUAUCGGAGUAUGUUUAGCUGUGAACAUUUAAAGCACAUUCAAAAAAUCAACCUCAAGAAGGGGAGGGUGUGCUCAUUGAAUAAGUGACACUGGUACUUUCAGUAAACUUUAGUUAAUGUUUUUCAUUUUUUUGCAAUAUGUAAAAACUAAAGAUUCUCUGUACAAAUGCAGUUUCCGCGAUUUUCUGUGGCAAAUGGAUUUCUAGGAUCUCUGCUGAUCAGUGAAAACAAUGAGGAGUCUGGUUCUUAAAGGCUAACAGAUUUAUUUGGGCAUAAGCUUUUGUGGGUAAAAAACCCACUUCUUCAGAUCCAUGGAGUGAAAAUUACAGAUAGUGGCACAUGAAGAGAAGGGAGUUACCUUACAAGUGGAGAACCAGUGUUGACAAGGCCAAUUCAGUCAGGGUGCUGAUCAGUGAGUGAAACUAAUUGUUUCUUCCAUGCCAUGAAAAUGAUCUGGUUCUUUCUUUUGUAGCAGCCCAAUAAUCCUCCAGAACAGAAAAUGACAAUAAUAUUUUUAAAGGGGUAAAGCACCUGUCAUCCUGCAGGAUUGUAUGAAUCGAAAGAGAUCAGCAACAUUUAGUUACUAUAUAAGGCUGUGUGUAUUCUCCCCUUGGUCUCUGUGCAAGCCUCAGAUCUGAUGUGGACCGAGGGGAGCAUGAACUGAAAACUUAUUAUGGCCCAAGGACCAUACUUAAACUUGGAACUAGGCCCUCUCCUCCAAAUGAGUUUGAUGCCCCUUCUCUAAUAUCAAACUAGUAGACAACCCAUUUUGGAAUUCAUGCCCUGUCAUCCAGAAGCUAACCAGAAAAUAGCCAAAGUAGUUUUUGAGUAAGUUUUUAAGCAAAUUUGUUCUUAUGUUGAAAAUCUGCAAGCAUAAUUUCAGCCUCUAGCAGUUUUAAAGUGAGUUUUAAAACCCUCAAGAUGUACACCAGUUGAAAUAUCGACAGCCCUCUAGUGCAACAGUAAUACUGUUAAUUUCAUAGUAAAAAGGUUCCUUUUGAGUUGCCAGUGAGCUGUUAAUGUACCAUCAAUUUUGUCGCUCUCACUUGAAUCAUCUGGGAAUCUGAGUUUAAGUGCCACCUUUGAUUUCUCCCUGUACAUUGUUUUGCUGUUUGCACAUUCAGCUGCUUAUAUAUUGCAGAGACAGCCUCUUGCAGAUAAAUGUUCAUGCAGAAAUUUGUCAUACCUGGAAGAUCCAAAUCACAGCACAACUGUUAUUUUAAACUACAAAGGACAAGAUUUUCAGAAGUGACUAGCAGUUGUGGGUGCCUAACUUGAACACCUAACAAGGCUGAUUUUUCAGAGGAUAGAUGAUCAGUGCCUUCUGAAAAUCUGGAUCCAUUAAGGUGUCUCAGGUUGAGUACCCAAAAACAGAAGCAACCAAAAUCACAAGUCUUUUUUAAAAAAAUCUUAUCUAGGCCCUUUUAAUACAGUGAUUGUUUUCAGACCUAUGUGUCUUUUGGAAUACAUUAUUAAAAGAAAAUAAAUUGUUGCCACUGUUGUAGAAAAGUGUAGUGAAUCUCUUAGAAAAGACUGAAUAGGUUACUCAGUAUUACCCCGUAUUUGGUACUGAUUUGUAAGAAAUAUAAUAAUUUGCCCAUUAUCAAUAGUAUCGAACAAUUAAAUCUCAAAGAACUUACUAAAAUAUGGACCAGUUCAGAAUCCAGCUAUUAACUUUACAUACAUCCUUGGUGAUAUUCCCUUCCAAUACUCUUUCUGAUCAUACUGCUUUUAUUCAAGGAACAUCUGCAGUCAGCAACAUUAAAAAGGUCACAGUACAUGAAAAGCAUGUCUUUGAUCCCUAUGAAAGAUGUAGAAACAAAGGAAAUUAAAUACAACCUACUUUGUAGAACCAGAGUCCUAUUUUGACAAUCUGUCUGGAGUUACUGACUUUUAGUUCUUUUAAGAAAAUCUAAUGGGGUGGGGGGGCAAGGCAUUUUCAUCCUAAAUUGGAUAUUUUAAUCACUGUUUGUUAUGACUAUUGUGAAAAUGUUUUCUCAUUAGCUGAGGACACAUUGUAGAAAAGGUUUUAAUCAAUGAAUAAAGGUUCCCCCAUGGUUAUUCUGCAUAUCAAGUCAAUGUCUCCAUUUUGGUGUCCAGUCUGUUAACAAAGGCCUGAUUGUUAAAUUAGGAGUAGAUCAAUUUAAAUCAUGGGAUUUAUACUGGUCUAAAACUGGUCAAAGUGAGAGGAAAAUCAAGACUUUGAAUAUUUUUGUUUUUGAAACUGUCCAGCUCCAUGGGGCUGAUUCAAGGAUUGUUAUUUUUAUCUAAGGAUAAUUGUGAAAAGAUCAAAUUCAAUCACUUUCUUCAAAAAGAUCAGAACUGAGGAAUUGGUGUCUGCACAUUUUGAAUGUGUUCAUCACUGUCAUAUUUAGGUGCUAUAUGUAUAUGCUUUAUAAUUAUAAUUUUUAGGGGGAAGGCACCAGGCGGGAGAGGGAUAGCUCAGUGGUUUGAGCAUUGGUCUGCUAAACCCAGGGUUGUGAGUUCAAUCCUUGAGGGGGCCAUUUAGGGAUCUGGGGCAAAAAUUGGGCAUUGGUCCUGCUUUGAGCAGGGGGUUGGACGAGAUGACCUCCUGAGGUCCCUUCCAAUCCUGAUAGUCUAUGAUUCUGUGACUGGAAGUCAGGAGACCAGAGUUCUAUUCUUUGUGCUGUCACUGACUUUGACUUUGUAAAUUGGGAAUAGUAAUGUUUAUCAUAGGGAAUCUGUGAGGCUUCAUUAAUAAUUGCUUGUAAAACCAUGUUACAUCUUCAGAAGAAAGAUACUAUAAAAAUGCAAAGUACUAUUAGAAAUAACACUUCUUUUAUUUGUCUUCAAGGACCCUGUUUUUGUGAUAGAUGUAGCUAUGUUUUCUGCAUAGAGUGCUUAAAAAUAUAAGAAGUCAGUUAGCCUGCCUGUCAAGCUGCUGAUGGUAGCGCUUUGAGGAGAUUGAAAAUGGAGGAUCUUGCAGAAGAAAAAACAUGUUGACUUCUCUUUUGUGGAGACUUUAUAUUUGUUGUUUCCCUUACUCUAAAUAAAAGUAUACAUUUUAUUCUCUGUCCGUGGGGUAACAUAAUUUUUUUUGUGCCCCACCUUAUUUACGUUGCUUUCUUAAGUGGGGUCAUGGCAAUGUGUUAUGAUCAUUUGUGGCUGCUAAAUAAGAUGACUUUAUGUUAAGGGCUGUCUGUUAUUUGGUACUUCAUGUCUAUCAUCCUAUACAGCUCAAUAUACAAUACACUUUAUCCCAUAUUUCAGCAGUAAUCCUGUGAAGGAUCAUACAUUAUGAUACAAAUGUAUGCAUUUGUCUUCUGUAUGAUUUUGUACCAUGAAUAACAUUGUAGGGAACUAUCCCUUAAAAAUAAGCCUUGUCAUGCAUGAAUUCUGAAAUAGAGGUGGUCACUAUGUCCCUUAAAGUGAGGUGGGAGGGUGUGUGACAUGGAAUCAUCCGACGAACAUGAAUGUGGUCCUCAAAAAUCUAGGACAGACACAGUAUUGCCCAUGCCAGCUGUUCAAAAAUUGAGUCAAGCUCCAAAAAAAGGUUUUGUUUUUUUUUUUUUUUUUAAAUAAUAAAUUUGAGGGAGGUUGUUUCUUUGUGUGUGGUUUAAUGUGUUGUUUUGCCUUCUGGUGUUUGAGCCGUUAGGUUUCAUGCUUUCCAGCUUUACUUCACAACCAUGCCCGCUAUAAACUUAGAAAAAAUAAAAGUAUCACAAAACUUGCAACCUUGUGCUCUGGGUGUCCCUAAACCUCUAACUGCCAGAAGCAUUGGGCACUGGCCACUGUCAGAGAUAGGAUUUUGGGCUUGAUGGACCAUUGGUCAGACCCAUUAUUGCCGUUCUUAUGCACAAAGCACAAGAGCUGGCAAUGCGAAGGCCAUAAGGUGCCUGAAGUAUGGUUUAUGGGUAGGGUGACCAGACAUCCUGUAUUUAAGCCCUCCUGCAGGUGUCCUGACUUUUUCUUAAAAACUG